AUGCAGUCGAACGGCAGCACGGAGCUUGCUCUGGUGGCGAGUGGCGAACGGGUGAGUAAUAUAUCGGAACGUACCCUAGAGUGGGGGAUAACGUAGCGAAAGUUACGCUAAUACCGCAUACGAUCUAAGGAUGAAAGUGGGGGAUCGCAAGACCUCAUGCUCGUGGAGCGGCCGAUAUCUGAUUAGCUAGUUGGUAGGGUAAAAGCCUACCAAGGCAUCGAUCAGUAGCUGGUCUGAGAGGACGACCAGCCACACUGGAACUGAGACACGGUCCAGACUCCUACGGGAGGCAGCAGUGGGGAAUUUUGGACAAUGGGCGAAAGCCUGAUCCAGCAAUGCCGCGUGAGUGAAGAAGGCCUUCGGGUUGUAAAGCUCUUUUGUCAGGGAAGAAACGGUGANAGCUAAUAUCUUUUGCUAAUGACGGUACCUGAAGAAUAAGCACCGGCUAACUACGUGCCAGCAGCCGCGGUAAUACGUAGGGUGCAAGCGUUAAUCGGAAUUACUGGGCGUAAAGCGUGCGCAGGCGGUUUUGUAAGUCUGAUGUGAAAUCCCCGGGCUCAACCUGGGAAUUGCAUUGGAGACUGCAAGGCUAGAAUCUGGCAGAGGGGGGUAGAAUUCCACGUGUAGCAGUGAAAUGCGUAGAUAUGUGGAGGAACACCGAUGGCGAAGGCAGCCCCCUGGGUCAAGAUUGACGCUCAUGCACGAAAGCGUGGGGAGCAAACAGGAUUAGAUACCCUGGUAGUCCACGCCCUAAACGAUGUCUACUAGUUGUCGGGUCUUAAUUGACUUGGUAACGCAGCUAACGCGUGAAGUAGACCGCCUGGGGAGUACGGUCGCAAGAUUAAAACUCAAAGGAAUUGACGGGGACCCGCACAAGCGGUGGAUGAUGUGGAUUAAUUCGAUGCAACGCGAAAAACCUUACCUACCCUUGACAUGGCUGGAAUCCUUGAGAAAUCAGGGAAUGCUCGAAAGAAAACCAGUACACAGGUGCUGCAUGGCUGUCGUCAGCUCGUGU
rnacentral:rRNA from 1 species